UACAGAGGGGGCAAGCGUUAUUCGGAAUUAUUGGGCGUAAAGGGCGCGUAGGCGGCCGUGCAAGUGGAAGGUGAAAUCCCUCGGCUCAACCGAGGAACUGCCUUUCAAACUGCAUGGCUUGAGUCCGGGAGAGGUGAGUGGAAUUCCCAGUGUAGCGGUGAAAUGCGUAGAUAUUGGGAGGAACACCAGUGGCGAAGGCGGCUCACUGGACCGGAACUGACGCUGAGGCGCGAAAGCAUGGGGAGCGAACAGG
rnacentral:rRNA from 1 species